UGGUUUGGUCAACAACAGCUUUCGACCUGAAACAAAACUAUAAUAGAAAUAACUGUUACUUUUAAUGUCCGGGACAAAAGAAAAUAGAACGACAAAUCUCCAGGAAAUGUUUUUGUUAGAAAAUAAAAGUCCGUUCCCUAUGAUUGCUGAGCAUCAAGAAAUUGAACGAAACGAAGGAAUCGAUGUUCGGAGUUUAUCAAUACUAGCAGCUGCUUUGAAGCUAGUUGAUCCUUUCAAUGCCGAGGCGAUCCAGAUUUGCCUCACAGAAAUUCGUAAAAGAAAGUGCCAAAGACAAAAAUCAGCCGAAAUGUUGGCAUUUUGGCGUUCCUUAAGAGCAUCAGUGCAAAGUUUAUUUGUAAGUUGCCUGCUAAAUUUUCACAGCCGUAUCCUAAUGGAUACUUUUUUGUUCUAA